GACAUUCACCGUCAGAUACCCGGGUUCUUGAGGCCUGGUACCCACAAAGGUACCCCGUGAUGGGUACCAAGAUUCUAAAAAGGUUUGGUAUCCGCAAAGGUGCCCCUUGGUUGAUACAAUGGAUAGGACUACCUGGAUGCAUUUUGGCAGAUCACAGCCGAAGAAGUUCGUACCUACUCGUCACAUCCUACACGCAUUUUGAAACAAACCACACAUGCUGAGAGUACGGUAUGUCGGUUUAGCUGUACAAAGGAACUGGCCUCGGCAACUUGGUCCAUUAUCUGUCGUAAAGCGUGGGUACGUUUAUGGGCCAUGAACAUUUGACUGCUGUUGAAUUGGAGCGUCCGACUGUCCAGCUUAACAAACCUAUUGCAGUGGGAUUUUGUACCUUAGUACACGCCAAAAGACGAAUCUAUUCGUUUUAUUACAACGAGUGAGUCAAGCAAUACGACGAUUGCGUUAAGUUGUUGAUGACGGACACGGACUCCGUCUUGAUUUCGAUCAGCGCCCCUCCCGAGAGACCUCUGCUCGAUCCUUACCUGUUCAUGCAACAAAACAUUCAUUUGUUCGAUACCUCGAAUUACCCGAGGUGCCAUCCCCUGUAUAGCAAAGACAGACACAGGGUGGCUGGGUUAAUGGAAGAUGAGGCCGGUGGGAAGGUCAUCCGAGAAUUUGUAGGUCUAAACGCCAAAACUAUAGUUAUUUAGUGGAUGGUGAUAGUGGAGAGGUUUCAAACGAGAACAGAGAAAAAAGGUGUUCAACGUAGCUGGGUGACAAAACAUCUCCGUCACAAAAUGUUUAUAGGGUGUCUUUUCGAUCGAAAGCAAUUCAGUUUAAGACAGAUACGUUCUUUUCACAAUACAAUGUACAGUGUGAAGGUCAACAACAUGGCCCUCUCCCAGCUUGACAACAACAGAUUGUUAUAACCUUGUGGGGUGCAGAGUUUACCCUAUAGCCACAAACAAACUGAUUAUAACGUCCCCCAGUAACCCAUCUGACCCGUGAAGAUCCGGGGUAGAAUAGGUCUUCAGCAACCCAUGCUUGUCGUAAAAGGCGACUAUGGUUAUCGUAAAAGGCGACCAACGGGAUCAGGUGGUCAGGCUCGCUGACUUGGUUGAUGCAUGUCAUCGAUUCCAAGUGCGUGGAUCGAUGCUCAUGAUAUUAAUCACCGGAUUGUAACCCAUCUUGUCAAAGUUAUACCGUUUCUCAUACUCGCAUUCACUUUGAACUCCAACAUACUGGCAAACGGAUUGAGAGUGUGGUAGAAAUACAGCAGAGACGACAGUCAAUGCGUUUCCAGGUACUGUAAAUAAUUAAAUAUGAAAAGUAAAAACAAUAAAAAUAAAAUUGAAAAAUCGUUAUUUAAGAUAUGAAUCAUGGAUUGAUAUACAAAUUUGUUUAAUUUUCAUUAUUUUUCAGUGAACUAUGAACCGUGUUUCCAGAUAUCACUUUAGUGUGUUAGACAGAGGACGGAGAACAGUGUACUAGGGGAAGAGUGAGUGAGUGAGUGAGUUUGGUUUUACGCCGCUUUUAGCAAUAUUCCAGCAAUAUCACGGCGGGGGACACCAGAAAUGGGAUUCACACAUUGUACCCAUGUCGGGAAUCGAACCCGGGUCUUCAGCGUGACGAGCGAACGCUUUAACCACUAGGCUCCCCGACCGCCCACUAGGGGAAGAACCUGUAUAACAAACAAGUGAAAGCUUUCACAGAAGCUGUCUCUCGUGAAACCUCCCCGGUUCCCAGAUGAGGGAGCUCCUUAUCAAAUACAGAUACACAGAGUAAACUAUGUAAUGCCACUUCCUGGCGAGCAUUCCCUGGUCGAGUAGCGACAGAAGUUCGAAUCCAUCUUGGAUUCCUUCUAUCUAAAAGCAUAAAUGAAUGGUAUCCGGGAAGAAAUCGGGGAAGCACCAAAGUCUCCAGGGUGUGAAACGGGUCACCCCUUACAAAAACACCUCAAAGUGAAGCGAGCGAGGAAGCAUGGUAUUUCGACGACGUGAUCACGCCGACAUCUUAAAAAAGAUGCAAAUGACUUUAUGGGGUCCGAGGGGCUCGUAUUUCAUGAGAUCUAUAGACUCAAAUACGAAACUCUAGAAUGGCUGCAGCUCAAUUUCUUGACAAGGGAGAAGUGAGUGUGAGUGAGUAUGGUUUUACGCCGCUUUUAGCACUAUUCCAGCAAUAUCACGGCGGGGGACACCAGAAAUGGGAUUCACACAUUGUGCCCAUGUCGGGAAUCGAACCCGGGUCUUCGGCGUGACGAGCGAACGCUUUAACCACUAGGCUACCCGACCGCCCCUACAAGGGAGAAGAAAAAUUCCCAUACACGUAUACUGAAAAUAAUAAUGGACUAAACUUGAAGUGGAAUGUAGACUCGUGUAUGUAAAUAGAAACAAGCCAACUUUUAUUUAUGUUAGGCUGACAAAGUAUUAUAACUGUAUAUGACUAAAAAUAACCCUGUUUUAUGUGGAUAGUACAAAUAUUGUACAGUGUGACCAGUCAUAACUGCUAUAAUCUACAAUGUCUCUAUUGUAUUCACAUACAGGGGCGGUCGGGUAGCCUAGUGGUUAAAG